GUAGGUGAACCUGCGGAAGGAUCAUUAUCGAACAACGGAUUGUCGCUGGCUAGGUUGAUUCUAGCAUGUGCA
rnacentral:rRNA from 1 species